UUAUAGAAUAAUUUUUGACCAUAACUAGGCCCAGUGUGCGGUAGUUGCUAUAGAACCACUGUGGAUAGAACUCUAGCCUUGAGCCCAGCCUUUGAGAAAGGAAUUAUAGAAACCUAUGAUUGGGCAAGUGGUCAGUAUCCAACUUGGACAGAAUCUAUUUGGAAAUCUCUAUCUGGAAGAAUGUUUCUAAAAGCAAGCCCUGCCAGUCAGCACUUCACUCUUGCUAUAGGAAUAAUUGUUCUUGUAUUUUCCUUUCUGUUCACGUUCUGGGCUGAGAAGCGAAGUAAUGUUAUUUUUGGAACUGAUGCACCCCAACAUUCGGAAUACGUAAACCCUGUAGCACUGUAGAGUACUUAAGGAUACAUUCAUUAUUAUCUCUUCUUUUUAAUUUCCAUUCUUCUUUCUUAUGUGAAGCCUUAAUCACUCAAGAAAUAUUAAAUGAUACAUUCAUUAUUAUCUUUUCUUUUUAAUUUCCAUUUUUCUUUCUUAUGUGAACCCUUUAGCACUUUAGAGAUACUAAAUGAUACAUUCAUUAUUAUCUCUUAUUUUCAAUUUCAAUUCUUCUUUCUUAUAUGAACUUUGUACCACUUUAUAAAUACUAAAUGAU
rnacentral:lncRNA from 1 species